rnacentral:rRNA from 1 species
GUUUCAGCAGCCGCGGUAAAACGUAGGACGCAAGCGUUAUCCGGAAUUACUGGGCGUAAAGCGCGUGUAGGUGGUUGCAUAAGUCACUGUUGAAAGCUCCCGGCUAAACUGGGAGAGGUGCGGUGAGACUGUGCGGCUAGAGUAUGGGAGAGGGAUGCAGAAUUCCGGGUGUAGUGGUGAAAUGCGUAGAGAUCCGGAGGAAUACCAGAGGCGAAGGCGGCAUCCUGGCCUAAAACUGACACUGAGACGCGAAAGCAUGGGGAGCGAACGGGAUUAGAAACCCCCGUAGUCC